rnacentral:rRNA from 1 species
GACGAACGCUGGCGGCGUGCUUAACACAUGCAAGUCGAGCGAUGAAUUUUCUUCGGAAAUGGAUUAGCGGCGAACGGGUGAGGAACACGUGAAGAAUCUGCCCUCCACUUUGGGAUAACACAGGGAAACCUGUGCUAAUACCGAAUAUUGAAACAUAAGUGGCAUCACUGAGUUUUGAAAGAAUUUCGGUGGAGGAUGACUUCGCGGCCUAUCAGCUAGUUGGUGAGGUAAUGGCUCACCAAGGCAACGACGGGUAGCCGGCCUGAGAGGGCGACCGGCCACACUGGGACUGAGACACGGCCCAGACUCCUACGGGAGGCAGCAGUGGGGAAUAUUGGGCAAUGGAGGAAACUCUGACCCAGCGACGCCGCGUGCGGGAUGAAGGCCUUCGGGUUGUAAACCGCUUUCAGUAGGGAAGAAGCGAAAGUGACGGUACCUACAAAAGAAGCACCGGCUAACUAUGUGCCAGCCGCCGCGGUAAUAC